rnacentral:rRNA from 1 species
UACGGAGGGGGCUAGCGUUGUUCGGAAUUACUGGGCGUAAAGCGCGCGUAGGCGGACCUGCAAGUCGGGGGUGAAAGCCCGAGGCUCAACCUCGGAACUGCCUUCGAUACUGCGGGUCUCGAGUCCGGGAGAGGUGAGUGGAAUUCCUAGUGUAGAGGUGAAAUUCGUAGAUAUCAAGCGGAACACCGGUGGCGAAGGCGGCCUUCUGGACAGUGACUGACGCUGAGAUGCGAAAGCGUGGGGAGCAAACAGG